CCUACGGGGGGCAGCAGUGGGGAAUAUUGCACAAUGGGGGAAACCCUGAUGCAGCGACGCCGCGUGAGUGAAGAAGUAUUUCGGUACGUACAGCUCUAUCAGCAGGGAAGAAAAUGACGGUACCUGACUAAGAAGCCCCGGCUAACUACGUGCCAGCAGCCGCGGUAAUACGUAGGGGGCAAGCGUUCUCCGGAUUUACUGGGUGUAAAGGGAGCGUAGACGGCAGCGCAAGUCUGGAGUGAAAUCCCAUGGCUUAACCAUGGAACUGCUUUGGAAACUGUGCAGCUAGAGUGCAGGAGAGGUAAGCGGAAUUCCUAGUGUAGCGGUGAAAUGCGUAGAUAUUAGGAGGAACACCAGUGGCGAAGGCGGCUUACUGGACUGUAACUGACGUUGAGGCUCGAAAGCGUGGGGAGCAAACAGGAUUAGAUACCCGGGUAGUC
rnacentral:rRNA from 1 species